GCUGCUGCCGGUGGGGGGUCCUGGAGCGGGGCCGGGCUGGGGGUGGCUGGGCCCGGCUCCCCGUGGGAGUGCUUCGGCUGGGGCGUUUGGGGUGCGCACCCAGCGCUGGCGGUGAUGCCAGGGAAAGCAAGCCUGAAACAGCAAUAAUGAAGCGGCGCCUUGCCUGUGCUGGGGCUGCCCCACAGAGGCGUGGGGCCGGGCCCUCUGCAGUUCCUGAGCACUCCCCAAAAGUGCGUGUGGGGCCCCAGGGGUGCAGGGCUGUGGGGUGGCUACAUUCCCCCCAGCAUUGCCCAUGGGGACUGCAAAGGGGGUCAGCUGGUUUGGGGGCCAGAAAUGGAGACCCAAGUUUUCUGUUCCUGGGGCUUGAAAACAGGCUCGCGUGGCUGAUUUUGGGGCUCGGAAACAGGCCGAGCUGCGCGGCUUUGAGCCCAGAAACAGAGGUCCGGCCCUGCAUUUUUGGGCCUUGAGAACAGGCUCAGCAGCCAGGUUUUUUGGCUCCCAAAUGGGCACUGAGUCAGCUGGUUUGGGGGCCAAAAGCGGAAGCUGGUGUGGCUGGUUUUGCAGGUGGGUGAGAGGCAGGCGAGUGGGAGGGUGUUGGGGGCUGUGGGGGAAAGCAGGGGGUGGGCAGGGGGCAUGGACCUUCUCUGGAGAUGGUGGUCUGGUUGUGUCGGACGCCGAAGUUCAGGAGGCCAGCACGCAGCAGGCCAAACUCAACAUCUGCGAUGGUCUGUGGGGGGAAAGGCACUUUUCAGACUGCACGUGCCCUCUCUGAGUCCAGCUCUUCUUUCUACGCUGCUUAGAAUAGUUGUUAAGUAAUUAAUUGCACAAACUAAUGAAUAUUUAUACAGCGUAUAACUAUGAUGUUUAAUCCUAAUGCUCAAGUUUUGACAGCAAUUGAUUUACAACCUUAUCGGAAGCCCAGGCUGUUGCAUGUAGCUGGAGCUUGGAAGGAGAAGAAGUUGAAAUCAACCAGAGCUUCAGUGCAGAGCUGGGGCUUCAAUUAGCCAGAACUGUAGCAAGCGGGAGCUGGAAUGAGGCGGGGUGUCCGCUGUCUGGAGCGUGCAUUAGCCAGAGGCAAAAUUACCUGUGGCUGUAAUGAGCAGGAGCUGCAAUUAGCUGGAGUGUCUCUCUGCUGGAGCGUCCGUUGGCCGGACUGCGCUCCCAGCACGGCUGAAGAGCGGCCGGGUGCAGGCAGGGCUGUCCACAGCAAGCAGCUCCGAGCAGCAGGGAGGUGAGUUGUCCUUCUGCCAGCGGGGAGCCCAGCCUCUUCCCUUGGGGAUCUAAUCCAGACCACACUCCUCUCUCUGCGUGGAGGGUCUCUCCCAGUCUGUUCCUGAGGGCAGCAGUGAGGUUGGGGUCCCCCGGUUAUCCCGGGGCAGCCCCUGCUGCGAGGGGGUGCGGGCGAGGCGUCGCCAUCCCCUCGGUACCGGGCAAAGGGGAGAGAAAGCGGCCAGUGGGAGCUCCUGGGGUGCUGAGCCCUUCCGGCAGAAUCCUCCCCUGUCUUUUCACCGUUGGCUGGGUGUGACAAACAGGUUAAUUUUUUGUCUCCUCUUUUUCCAGUGUCACCUUCUGCGGCACAUGAAGGAAAUCCUGCGUGGUUAAUUCCGCUUGCUGCUCAGACUGUUGAUGGCAUGUUGUUCUGUGGCACAAUCCCCAUGCCGUUCAGUGGAGUCUUCAGUCUAGGACUUCUAAGUAAAAAAGUUUGUCCUUCCAAAAAAGGACUAGUCAUUCAUAGGACUGGGGCUGUAGCUGUUGUGGUGGAUCUGUAAGCAUAGAUUCUGAUUGUGUACGACCUCGUCCCGCAGCUUCACAGGGUUAUCUCCCUGCAGCAGUGCUGUAAGGAAGGGAGGAGACGUUUUCCAACACCGGCAACAGUGUUUACUUGUAUGCUAAGAAGGUGUUCAAAAGGGUAUCAAUUAGCCUAAAUGCUGAUUUUAAGUGUUCUAAUCACUCUUAACUUUUAAAGGAGGUGUUGUAUUUCGAGCUGACCUGUUUACCUAGAAUCCUCCUUUAGCUCAGGACUCUUCUUGUGCACCCCCAGCCUCCGCUGGCAGGGCGGUAUGAGAAACUGGAAAGUCCUUGACUUAGUAUAAACACUGCUUAGCAACAACCAAAGCAUCAGUGUGUUGUCAACAUUAUUCUCAUCCUAAAUCCAAAAUGGCCCUGUACCAGCUACUUGGAAGAAAAUUAACUUUAUUCCAGCCGAAACCAGGACAACCCCAAACCCCCUGAUUCUGGGUCUGCAACGGAAAAAAACAAACGAAUUUGGGACUCCUGGGAAAGCCAAAUUCGCCUGGAUUUGUGCAGCUGGAAAGCAAAAUAACCACCCCAUUUUCAUGCACAAAACCACAACCAAAAGAUCACCCCUUUUUAUGUUGUGGAAAAGCA